rnacentral:snRNA from 1 species
UUCAAAGAUCAUACACAAAAACC